AGUGAACGCUGGCGGUAGGCCUAACACAUGCAAGUCGAACGGCAGCACAGUAAGAGCUUGCUCUUACGGGUGGCGAGUGGCGGACGGGUGAGGAAUACAUCGGAAUCUACUUUUUCGUGGGGGAUAACGUAGGGAAACUUACGCUAAUACCGCAUACGACCUACGGGUGAAAGCAGUGGAUCUUCGGACCUUGCGCGAUUGAAUGAGCCGAUUUCGGAUUAGCUAGUUGGCGGGGUAAAGGCCCACCAAGGCGACGAUCCGUAGCUGGUCUGAGAGGAUGAUCAGCCACACUGGAACUGAGACACGGUCCAGACGCCUAAGGGAGGCAGCAGUGGGGAAUAUUGGACAAUGGGCGCAAGCCUGAUCCAGCCAUACCGCGUGGGUGAAGAAGGCCUUCGGGUUGUAAAGCCCUUUUGUUGGGAAAGAAAAGCAGCAGGUUAAUACCCCGCUGUUCUGACGGUACCCAAAGAAUAAGCACCGGCUAACUUCGUG
rnacentral:rRNA from 1 species